rnacentral:lncRNA from 1 species
CACUGACUGCCUCAACCCUAAAAAGCUCGAGAAACCUGUUCAGAAGGUGGUGAAGGAAAUGACAGGUGUCGGUGUUGACUUUGCCUUUGAGGCCAUCGGACUGAUUGAAACGAUGGUCUCGGCUUUGAAGUCAUGCAACAGGAGCUCCGGAGUGUGCGUAAUUAUGGGAGUGGCUCCCACCGGCUCCCAGCUCUCUUUUGACCCCGUGCUGCUUCUCCCUGGGAGAACUCUAAAAUCUUCUGUUUUGGGAGGGUAUAAAACCAGAGAUGACAUCCCUAAACUAGUAACUGACUACGUACAAAAAAAUUCAACAUAGAACCUCUUAUAACCCACAGGCUGCCUUUUCCAGAAAUCAAUGAAGGAUUCAAACUGUUGCGAGAGGGAAAAUGCAUCCGCUGCGUCCUCUCUAUGAGACCCUGAUGGUGGCUGGCACACAAGCAUCCCCACAGUGCUCUCUGUGCUUCUUUACUUCCUUGAGGAUUAAACUGCGAACUAUGGCGAUCAGAACUGGAAAGACAUACACACGCAAUUUUAAGGAGUUAAAACUGUUAAAGAAAAUAAACUAUCUCAAAACUC